UACGGGGGGGGCAAGCGUUGUUCGGAAUUACUGGGCGUAAAGGGCUCGUAGGCGGCCAUCUAAGUCCGACGUGAAAUCCCUCGGCUCAACCGAGGAACUGCGUCGGAGACUGAGUGGCUUGAAUCCAAGAGAGGGAUGCGGAAUUCCAGGUGUAGCGGUGAAAUGCGUAGAUAUCUGGAGGAACACCGGUGGCGAAGGCGGCAUCCUGGAUUGGCAUUGACGCUGAGGAGCGAAAGCCAGGGGAGCAAACGGG
rnacentral:rRNA from 1 species